rnacentral:rRNA from 1 species
UACGUAGGGGGCAAGCGUUGUCCGGAUUUAUUGGGCGUAAAGAGCGUGUAGGCGGCCAUACAGGUCAGCUGUGAAAACUCGAGGCUCAACCUCGAGACGUCGGUUGAAACCGUAUGGCUAGAGUCCGGAAGAGGAGAGUGGAAUUCCCGGUGUAGCGGUGAAAUGCGUAGAUAUCGGAAGGAACACCUGUGGCGAAAGCGGCUCACUGGACCAUUACUGACGCUGAGGCACGAAAGCUAGGGGAGCAAACAGG